rnacentral:rRNA from 1 species
AUUGAACGCUGGCGGCAGGCCUAACACAUGCAAGUCGAACGGUAACAGGAAGCAGUUUUCUGCUUUGCUGACGAGUGGCGGGCGGGUGAGUCAUGUGUGGCAAACUGCCCGCUGGAGGGGGAUAACUACUGGAAACGGUAGCUAAUACCGCAUAACGUCUCAAGCCCAAAGAGGGGGAGCUUAUGGCCUCUUGCCAUCGGGUGUGCCCAGAUGGGAUUAGCUAGUAGGUGGGGUAACGGUUCACCUAGGCGACGAUCCCUAGCUGGUCUGAGAGGAGGACCGGCCGCCCUAGAACUGAGACACGGUCCAGACUACUACGGGAGGGAGCAGUGGGGAAUGUUGCGCAAUGGGCGCAAGCCUGAUGCAACCAUGCCGCGUGUAUGAAGGAGGCCUUCGGGUUGUAAAGUACUUUCAGCGGGGAGGAAGGGAGUAAGGUUGAUACCUUUGCUCAUUGACGUUACCCGCAGAAGAAGCACCGGCUAACUACGUG